UCCGAGCUAGCUUUAACUUUGGCUACAUGAGCCUGGGCCGCUCAAGCGCGUUGGUGCACGCUGCCCCGCAGGCCCACUGAGGUGUUGGGUUGAUCUGAACCGUUGAUGUCAAUCUGAUGGCUGAGGAUGCUCUUGCCGGGAAUAAAAUCAAUCAGCCGCCACUAUCAAAGGAAAAACCUAGCUUUACUUUUCCUGUCUUUCUCACCCCUUGCAACUGAGAGAGAAGAGUAAACGAGCGUGCGGAGCCGAGCUGAGGGGCGCCGUCGACGGGGCGCGCGUGGCCGGCUGACCUGGUCCGCCGCCCGACCGCUCUUCCAGAGCUCGCGUGCAGGGUUGGCCGCAUGUGGCUCCGUUGAGCCACCUUGCAGUGGCGCUCAGGCGCCCCACGCGGUCACGAGCGUUGAGCCCAGGCGGCCCAGCAGCCGCGUGGGGGCCUAGAGGAGCGCGAGGGAGUUGCCGAGCAAGGCGAAGUUUUUUUUCUCACCGGAUCUAGCCAGUGCAAGGUACGAGGAGGAGAUUGUCUUCCCAGUAGCUUCUGCGACAACCUUGGCUCCUUCAGGCUUGCAUCCUCCAUGUUCCAUGCCGCCCUGUAGCUCAAUGGCCAAGUAUCAAGUUGAUUCAUUUUAUCUUGAUUUGGUCUUGUCGCCUCUCGAUUUAGCAUUUUGUGGAUGUGGAUUUGAUUUAAUGUGUGGAGGCACCAGUGCCUUGUAUUUAUAGCCCAGUUGGUGUCCGAUUUGAGUUAGUUCGUUAUUUCGGAAGGAUGUGGAAUCUGGAUUUGGUUAUGUAUCGUGUGUGCGGACUAAAUAUCGGAUAUACUUUACCUUAUAUAGACACGGAUAUGUUGCGUCCGUACUCCGAAUCGAGGCCCGACGGACUGGUGGCAGAAGAAAU
rnacentral:lncRNA from 1 species